rnacentral:lncRNA from 1 species
UGUCUCCGACCAAAUCUGACCUCCGAGCUCUUAACACUACAAAAUAGAGGAAAAGGAAACAAGGUAAGCACUUGGUGCUUAGUAAGCUCAUGUAACAAGAAUUAUACUUACCUAAUAUUUUCAAUACAAUACAAUAAACUUUCAUAUAUCCAUUCAAUGCAUUAUUACCCUAACAUACACAAACUCAACAUUCAAGUUAGUACAAUAAUUUCCAUGUACCAAUAAUAUAUACUAUGAUUGAUGAGCUCAUCAAUACCAUGAUUUCCAUUUCCUUAUAUAUAUAUUUUUUUCAUAUUUGUCCCGUUGAAUUUCUUGGAAUUUUUUAUGGAUUUUCAGAGGUACCCUUUUAGUGUACAUUUCUGGGUCCGUCAAUUCAUAUUCAUGUGCGACAUUUCCAUUUCAGAGAGCACACUCCCACGAACUCAUCCUUACAGCGGGAUUACCAGUCUAGGCUAAAUCCCCUGUAAUAUAAACUCAUAGAGUAUUGUCGGGAUUACCAGUCCAGGCUAAAUCCCUUGCAACGACAAUUACUCUAAUGAGCUUGGAUCUGAAUUACCAGUCCAAGCUCAAUUCAGACUCUAAUUCGGAUUACCCGUCAGGGCUAAAUCCAGUUUCCACAUAUUCUUCGGGAGGGCUAUAUCAGGAUAGGAUCACCCGUCCGGGCUAGGUCUUUUUUACCGUCAAUUCCUUUUUAGAGAUCUAUCGAAUUUUCCUUUCAUUCAACCGAGAUUUCUUCCCCUUUUAUCAAAUAUGUCAAUGUUUCAUAAAUUUUCAUAUAAUGAACAUUCAAAUCAUAUUCAUAUAAAAAAACAUACAUUUCAAGUAUUUAAGAAUAUAAUUCAAGUUACAUGAACUUACCUUAAUACUUGUUCGUGUACAAAAAUCUACUAAUUUUGAACUUUUUCCUUUCCUCGAUCUAGCUUCGUAUUUGAAUCUUCUAGAUCUAAAUAAAUAAAUUUAAUUAUCAAUUUAAUACAUUUCAUGUUCAUAUGCAACAAUUUCUAUAAUUUCAUUAUUACUAUUUAUAGUUUAUUCAAAGCUGUCUAUUUGAGUCAUAGUCACUAAAUUAAGAUCCGUUAAUUUUACCUAAAACUAGACUCAUAUAUAUUCUUACCAUAAACUUUUUAGAGUUUUUGGUUUAGCCAAUAAGUACCGUUUAUUCUUUAAAGUCACCCCUGUUCUACUGUCUAAUAGUUCUGACCCUUCGUCACUAAAAAUUAAUUAUCUCUUCAUACAGAAUUUGGAUGAUGUUCCUGUUUGUUUCUCUUAAAAAUAGACCCAUUCAAAAUUCUAGACAUAUAAAUUUAAGCCCCUAGUUAUUUUUAUUCAAUUUUUAUGAUUUUUUAAAUUCAGAACAGGGGAACUCAAAUGCAUUCUAACCUUGUCUCACAAAAUUCAUUAUAUCUCAUGAUUUACAGAUCAAUUGCUUACAUCGUUUCUUCUAUGAGAAACUAGACUCAAUAAGAUUUCAUUAUUUAUUUUUUUAAUCUUCUAAUUUGAUUAUUAAAUUUAUGGUGAUUUUUCAAAGUUAUUCUACUGCUGCUGUCCAAUAUUGUUUUAGUGCAAGUUGUUUAUUACCAUUUUUCCGUUAAGCUUUUAAUAAAUAACAAUUUCAUCCCUACUAAAUUAGCCUUUCAAUUAAGCUAAUUUUUCUCAAUUAACACAUUAUUCUAUCACCUUAAACUAGUUUACAACCUUUAGGAAUCAAAAUUUCAGCAAUAGACUUUAAUUCCAAACAUUUUCACAAUUAGGUCCUAAAAAUCAAUUUCUAUUGAAAUUACCUAAUAAAAUCAUUUCAUAAAUAAAUUAAAGCUUUAAUUUCAUUCUAUUUCGUCAUAAAAUUAUAGAAAUCAACCAUGGUGACUAUCAAUUUCAUCCAUGAAAUCAAAAACUAAUGAAUUUAAUAGUAGGACCUAGUUGUAAAAGUCUUAGAAACACAAAAAUUUCAAGAAAAAGGUAAGGAUUAACUCACUUGGUGAAACAAUUAUGGAAUACCAGCUUAGAGAACCCUCCUAUGGCAUUUUUAGCUGCUAGAAUUGAAGAGAAAUGAAGAGAAAUCUAGAUAUUUCCUAUUUAGUCCUAGCUUUAUUUAGUUAAUUUUGCAAUAUUUCAAUUUUGCCCUUAAUUUACCAAUUUUCCUGCUGAUUUCAUGCCCUUGCCGUCCAUCCCAAAUAAAAUUUGGGUCUAAUUGCCUUUUAAAUCCUCUCUCAUUAGACACUUAAGCUAUUUAAUCAUCCCAUCCACUUUUACACCUUUUACAAUUUAGUCCUUUUCAUUUAAUUAACUAUCCAAACAUUAAAAUUUCCUAACGAAAUUCUAAUACCACAUUACUAACAUUUCAUAAAUAUUUAUAAAAUUAUUUUUGACUCGGUCUUACGAGAUAGAGCUCUCGAUACCUUAUUUUACCCAAUUUCUUCAAUAAUUUCUUUUUCUAACUAACCACUAAAUCGGUAAAUAAAUUUUAUCAAUAUUUUCAUACGAUUUUCCUAUCAUAUCAAUUUUCAUGCAAAAAUAUUGAAAUAAAUUUAUCUUUAAAUCAGAUUUGUGGUUACGAAACCACUAUUCCGAUAACCUUGAAUUUAGGCCAUUACAGAUUCUCAUAGUUCUCAUAUAAGAAAUUUCAUUAUCGUUGCCACCUCUUUUGUCAUUUUUCUUCUUUAUAGCAAAAUUGAAUCUAAUAUUUCAUUUGCCUUCACUGUAAUGAAAAUAAAAAACGAUAAUAAUGCUUUAAUUCAUUUGUUAUGUAUAUAUGGUUAUAAUCAGGUAAUCAUUUGUCCUUUAAAGCAAGUUGCUAAUUAAUAAAAAUUUAAUAGGAUAAAAUAUGCUCUAAGUAUCUGUAUUCUUAAUAUAUUUUCAAUUUAAUCCCUUUGCUUUUAUAUAUAGGAAUUCAAUCCAUUUUGACUAGAAAAAUAGUUUAGCAAUCCAUAAAAUAAAAUAAACACAAAAGUAAGAUAACACUAAGAGUGGUUCUCCCAGGGCAUUAACCCAAUAAUGUCUAUUUAUAAAGAAAAAAUCACAUAAUGGAAAAAAAUAAAGAAGUAACCUUGAUUAAAUAAAGUAUAAUUUUAGUAAAUUUUCGCGUCAAACUUUUAGGUUAUUUUUAACAUCUUCUUGGCAUUUCUUGGGCUCAAGUUGUGUAAUAACUUCAGUUAUAUCUUUCAAUUCACUUUAAAACAAUAUAUCAUGGGCCCAAAAUGAGUUCUUAGAUCAAGUUAUGGCCAAAAUACUGAUACAAUGUUGUGUUGAAAGUUUAAUUCGCAAAAACUUGCCAAAAAAUAGACUUUAACCUCUUUUGUAACACCCUUCACCCGUCUUCAUUACUAGAUUAGUGUUACAGGAUGCUACAAUAAAUAAUAGAAUAGGAUCAUGUUAUUUCAAUUUAAAACUUCUUUAGACAUUUAUCAAUUAUCAAACUUCAAGUUAAAACAUGUUAUUCAUACAAGAACAUGCUUAAAAUGAGCUUAAGAAAGCCCUAAAAAUAAUUUAGAACUAAGCAGGGACUAAUUUGAAACUUUUCAGAAAAGUGUGGAAAAAGUGCAAAACAUGUGUCACACAACCAUAUUAUAGGUUGAGGCCGUGUAGUGCAGGGUCACAUGUCAUGUCGCUAGGCUGUGUAACAAGUUGUGGUCGUGUGGACCUAAUUGUAAAAUCUUGAAAACAUUCACACAGCCAUGUAGCUAGGCCGUGUGAGACACUGAGAUUAUGUCUACCCAAAAUCACUCUGAUCAAAUAGAGCAUGUGGACGUGUCACUUGCUCGUGUGUGACACAGUGUCGAAUGUUAGCUAGUGUGUGCUAAAAUGUAACUUAUAAUGCAAGUCACAAACAUCAACUACUUACUUAAACCACAAGCAUGCCAUUAACUAUUCAAUAGACCUGUAUAAAUACACCAAAAUCAUACUAAAACAUAUUAAUUUCCUAAUUCUAACCAAUAUGUCAUAAGGCACCAUCACAGCCAAUAAUCACUACCUAUAUGUUUCCUAAUUCAUACCAAUUUUGAACAUAACUAAGCGAAUGCCAUAUAAAUCAUCAAAAGUGCCAAAAUUUCCAUUCUUUAUCCUUAAAUAUGUACCAAUAUAUAUUCAUCUCUACAAUAGGCACCAAAAGAAUCAAUGCACAUAACAUAUCCAUAACACCCAAAUCAAAUAUUAAAUCAUUAUGCCAUAUGUUCCAACCAACCUCACAUAUUCAAUCAAUUCAUAACAUAACUAAAUCAUGCCAACCAUUCAGAUGAAUCUCUCAUUUUUCCUAUACUUAACAACCAUAUUCAAAUUCACCAUUUCAAACCAUUACCAAGCAUAUCAAAAGGUUAUCUAACACACAUAUUAUGUGACACUCCAAACUCAACCAGGACGAAUCGGCACGAAUUCGAAGUGUUACAUUAGCUACCGAAGCGACUUUCCAGCUAACGACCACCCAACACAUACCCCAACCUUAUAACACCUUAUUUAUGACUAGUUAACUAUCACUUAUUAAUGCGGAAGCAAUUUGCGAACCAUUUGUAAAUUUUUUCUAAGUAUUUAAACCUAAGAGUAUUUUGGUCAUUUUACAACCUAAGGUUAAACUAUCCCGAUUAUUUUAUUUCUAAAUAGUUACCAACCUUCUUUUAGUCAAAUUAUGUAAGCCCUAAAAAUUUAAGCUUAAUUCGAGUUCAUUUACUAUGUCUAAUUCAAGUUUUAUUAUUAGGGGAUAAAUCAUAACUUUUACAAACUUUUAGUAUAUUUUCCAAAUUAAAAUUAAGGGUGUUUCUACCAAAUAUUACCAGUUGCAAGUCUAAUUCUAAAAUAUUACCAAGUUUCCCUAUCAUUAAAGGCUUAAAUUAAUCUAAUCAAGUUUUAGGACUCAAUUAUAAAUUAAGCAUAUUAGAAUACUAGAUUACAAAUACUAAAAAUUGAACCCCUAAAAACCUACAUGCCCGUGUGAAAAGACACAUGCCCGUGUGACCACUGCACCUAUUUUGUCAGAAAUUCGUUUAAUUACCCGAUUUUACAUAUUUUACUUACCCGUUAAACUUGAAAUAGCUACAAUUAAUUACCAUAAACAUCCACACAUCUCCAAUUUAAUUUAUUUACAACAAAUAUGCAGCAAUUAAUCAAAGUUUAACGCCCAAUUACACUCUUAGCAAACACCAAUUAAUUCACACAAGCUAAUACCUUAGUCGCAAGCAAUCCACUCCAUGGUAAACCUAAUUAAACAUUGUUAGUAUAAAAUACAUGCUUCAUACACCAUGUUAUCAACCACUGUACGAACACUCAUCAAUAUACAAUAAAUCAAACAUCAAUUAGACAUAAAAUCAUGUAUUAAAGCAAUUAUAAAAUCACCAAAGUUAAAGUCCAAAAUUUAAUGUCCAAUGUCCAUUACAAGUAAAAUAACACUAGCCCCUAAAGCAUCACAAUACCCCUAUAUAGUCUCUAAAGUAAAUUUCUUAAGCCACUACCGAGCCUUAUUCUUAGAUCGCCUUUGCAGUCACUUCUUGACUCCUUACAUCCAAAAAUUCUCUACACAAAAUAUGAGGGUGUGAGCUUAAAAAUCUCAGUGACUGAUAGUAAAAACAUCAAGUAAUUUGCAUCCAAUCAUGCUUAAAUUAAAGCAAUUAAGCAUUAAUUUUUCAGUCAGAACAAUUUAACAUUUCACCAUAAUAUCACAUGUUAUUUCACGAAUUAAGGAUCAAUUUUUCCAUGGCAUAUAAAGUCAUCUUUUAACACGUAAACAUUCAAUUAUAUUGGCAUAAUCGAUCAAUUAUAUUGGCAUAAUACAUCUGUGACAGCCCUAAAUUGACCCUAGUCGGAAAGUGGUUUCGGGACCACAAGACCCAAUCAUAAAAAUAAUUAACCAUUAUAUUUGAUGCUUAUUAUAUGUAUAUAGGCAUGUGUGAAAAUUUCAUGUUUGAAUUUUGUUAAUUGUAAGUGAAUUUUGCUAAAUAGGACUUGUGUGAGAAAAUUUAGAAAUGUGCUAGGCAAAUGUUAAAGUGGCCUAUUGAUGCAUGCUAGAAAAUGUUGUCCUUGCAUGUCAAAAUACCCAAAACUUGGGAUGGUGGCCGGCCAUGCUAUGGGUAAAAAGGUAUUAUAAACAUGUUAUGUUAGUGUUUCAUGGGAGGAAUGAUAAAAUAAGGAGCAUGGUAAUAAAAUAAUGAAAAGGAAAAUGAUGAAGAAAAAAAAAAGAAAAAGUUCUCAUGUUGUUCAACUUGGCCGAAUAGAAGAAAGAAAAAGAAGGGAAAGAGCUUGGAGAAAAUCGGCUAUGGUGGUUCACUAGACUAAGGUAUGUUGAUGUUGUUCCAUGAGAUUCAUGCAUGUUUUUAGUUGUUAGCUUGUGUUCUACCCAGCCCAUGGUUUAAAUCUUUGCUAUGAGAUGGAGAUGAUAUUCGGCCAUGGGUGUUGUCUUCUUGGUUGGUGUUUGAUGUUGUGGUGAUGAGGCAUGAAGAUGAGUUAAGUUUCGGCUAAGGUGGACUCGUGUUGAUGUCAUUUGCAUGCUAAGUGUGAAGCUUUGUAAUGAUACAUGUGAUGGUGAUUGAUGACUCUUGGAUUUUCUUUUUAGCAUUUUUAAGUUAGACAUUAAGUUCUUUGUUUAACCCAUGACCAAAAUUGAAAUGGUAUGGUGUCUUGAUGCAUUCGGCCAUGGUAGGAAGUAGAUGAGAAUUGGUAGUAAGGUGAAGUGCAAAUGUUAGUACUUUAUUACUAGUGUAUAUAUGUGUAUUAGCCGAGUUUUGAACUUGAAACAAAAUGGUACGUAGUCAAUACAAGUAAGCAUAUUUGUAGGAAGUAUUAAGCAUAUAUCGGCCUCAACAUAGACAUGCUUAUUCGGCCACAUGAGGUAGAUUGGUGUUGCAUGUAUUCGGUUAGAGGCAAGCAUAUUGAUGCUUUUAUCUUGGCUUAGAUAAUCGGCUAAAAGAGAGUGUGGGCUAAUAUGUUGAGUUGAUUCAUGAUUUCAUAUAUAUGUGACUCUAAUGUCUAAUGUAUAUGUGGGCUAAGUACCUUGAGUUUCUCUUUUUGAUGUUCAAAUGAUUAAAUCAAUUUAUUUGUUAAAUUAAGGUCAAGAGCAAAGGGGAACUAAAUCCGAUAAAGGGAAGGAAAAAGUGAUCGAAUAGCCGUCGAAAUUGUUCGACAACAUCCGAGGUAAGUUUUCAAGUAAUGAAACUUAGUUUACGAUUUGAUUAAGUCAUGACGUAUAAUCAUAACAAAUAUACGGUGAUAUAAUGAUUCUACUUGAAUUAUAUGUUGAGUUAAUUAGUCUAUACGUAUGAUGGGUAGCCGUAUGUGCAUAGAGAUCAUGUCAUAAAGCAAACCAAAUCAUGCUGUUUGUAUGUGGCUAUUGAGCUGAAAAUGGGAAUGCUUAAUAAUUGACUUGUGUUUGAAUUCUAGUUAUGAAAAUGAAAUAAAUGUGUCAUGAUUUACUGAUAUGUGCAUGAAUAUUCGGAUGAUAACGGGGCUAAGUCCCGAAGGCAUUUGUGCUAGUGACUAAUUCCGGGCUAAGUCCCGAAGGCAUUUGUGCGAGUUACUAUAUCCGGGCUAAGUCCCGAAGGCAUUUGUGCGAGUUAAUAUAUCCGGGCUAAGUCCCGAAGGCAUUUGUGUGAGUUACUAUAACCGGGCUAAGUCCCGAAGGCAUUUGUGCAAGUUACUAUAACCGGGCUAAGUCCCGAAGGCAUUUGAGCAAGUAGCUAUAUCCGGCUAAAUUCCGAAGGUACUUGGCUUGGGAAUGAGCGAUCUUGCUAUAAUAAUUUCAAUUAAUACGCUCGUAAAAUUCCAACGAUGAGGUACGUUUUGUAUAUGCAUUGGAGUAUUUGAUUCCUUUUAAAUAUUAUUCGCUCAGUCAAUUAAUGAGCUUCCGGCCUUUGGUUAAGUUGAUCCCUUAUGUGUGAAUAUAAGGGUUGGAAAUGUGAAGUAGGACUGAAUCUUGAGAAUAUGUGUAUAUGAAAUUGUCCGUUUAGUUAUAUGAAUGCUAUACUUCAGUUGUGCCUAAUUUCAUUGCUCAAAACUUACUAAGCAUUAAAUGCUUAUUCCGUUUCUUUGAUUCUCUGUUUUAUAGAUUUUGGUUCGUCAGCUAUCAGACUCGGGAUUGUCAAAGUCGAAGUCGUCCACACUAUCAAAGCCCUUUUGGUACUCUUUUAGUUGAACUCUGCUAAUGGCAUGUAUAGGACUGCCCUUGUGUUAUUAGUCAAGUACUUUGGUGUUGUAUAUAUUUGGAUAGCCAUGCGAAAAUGGCUUAUAUAUUUUGAGCAUAGUGUUAUAAUCAUUUUGUAUGUAUAUGGUUAUUGAGAGGUGUGGAUAUGCUUGGCAAUGAUUGGCCAUUGGAAUGGUUAAUCAUGAUCAUAUUUUGUGCUAUAUAUGCUAAAGGGCUAGUUGAAUCAUGGAAACUAUGAAAUAGGUAAAGUCUACCUUAAAGGCAGAUGCUGACAGCAGCAGUGAUGUAAAUUUGAAAAAUAACUAAAAAUAGUAGGAAAGUAAUUAAAUAGUGAAUAAAUUAUUUAAUCGAACCUUUAUGAAUCUACUUUCAUAUGGAAGAAACGAAACGAUCAUAUGAGUCGUAUUUUAAGAGAUAUUUAAGUUUUCGUGGAAUAGGGCCAGAGCAAUUUCUGGAUCCCCUGAUCUGACUUUGGAAAUUCACUAUAAAUUAACCAGAGAUAAUUAGAGGUCAUGCCAUAUAUGUAUAGAUUCCUUUUUGAGUCUAGUUUCGUUAGAAACAAAUAUCAUAAAUAUUGAAUCCCUGUACAGGGAGAUAUAUAAGUCGUAAUGCAUAAAGGUUAGAGCAGUCAAACCCUGAAACAGAGGAGACUUUAACUAAUAAACUGUACUAAUUGGCCUAAUUAAAAAUUCUUGAAAACAAUUUGUAGAUGGAUAUAUGAGUCUAGUUUCAGGGAAAGUUUAAGGAAUCAGUUUUCGAGCUUCGGAACUCGAGAUAUGAUUUUUAAAGUGACAGUGAUGCAAUUAGCCAGCUUGUCUGAAAAAAAAUGAACUGUGUAAGUCAUUGAAAUAAGUCCGUAAAUACCUCGUGUUCGACUCCGGCAACGGUCUCGGGUACGGGGUGUUACAACAUCCAUGGAAAUAAGUAAACGUGUGAUCAUAUAUUGGAUAAACAAAUCUCUGAACUCCCACAAAUCAAAUAUAGUCCUCCGAAUUGAGUGGGCCAAAGCCACAAGCUCUCUUAUAAUGCCUCAAAUAAUCUGAUUAGUGGAAACUCAAGCUCAAAACUCCCUUAUCUACUCCAAAAAAAUUAGUCCACCAAGAGCCAUAUACUCACAAUAUCCCAAAUAAUGGUAAGUAUUCACAAGUCCUAUUGCAUGUAAACUAUAUCCAACAGAUCUACCAUGAAAUGUUUCCAAUAUAAUCAUACAUACAAGGCAUAAAAUCUAUUAUUUAAUCACUUAAUUUAGGAUGUUUAAAUGCAAGUAAAAGCAUGUUGCUAAGCAAUUUUAAUAUCAAAAAAAUUAAGCAUAGCAAAUAUCAUUUUCCCAAUAUUCAUAUACCCAUUAGAACACCUUUAUCAAAUGUUUAAUAAAUUAGCAAUUCAUGCUUAAAAUAUCAAUUUAUUUCAUACAAUUUAAUCAUGUUAAAAGCAUAAUACACAACUUACCAAACCAAUUGCCAUUUUGCUCUUUUAUAAAAUAAAACCUAUUUCUGCAAAUCUAACCAUCCAAUAUGCAAUUAAGUCAUUAAUAAAACCAAUUAAACCUUUAAUUUAACAUAUAAUUAGGCCAAUUUACCAAAUUUCCAUUAAUGUCACUCACCUCUACACUUAGCUCUUUAAGCAAAAAUGUGUUCAAACAAGCAAGUUUGAGCUUCAAUUUUGAUUUGCAUGUUCCUCCUCUUGAUGUGGAGCUUUAACAGAGACAAAGUAUGCAUUACAAACUAACAAUAGCAAUAAGAAACAUGAAAUUUGAUGAAGUAUAAGAAUUUAAAUAAUUGCUCUAAACUACCUUAUCGAUGUUGCACAACUAAGUCGAAAUAUGGAAUUCCUGAACUAAACUCCCAUUUCAGCACCUCAAACCACUUCUAAUCUUCAUUCCUAGUCCAAUAACAUGUAUUCUAAGUGUUAAUUUCAUCAUUUAAUUUGUUUCUUUAUUUUUCAAAAAAAUCAUCCAUGUUCUUGAUCUAAUUUGAAUUUCUCAAAAUUGAUCCAUAAAACGUGUUUGAUCUUUUGGUUUAAGAUUAAAAACCUCUUAUUAGACCGAUUUUGAUCUUAGAAAUCCAUUAAUAUUCAAAUUCCAACUCAAAAUUAAAGAUCCACCAUUGUUGAUCCUCAAGUUUAAGAAAGAAGAAAUUAAAGUUGAAAAUCCAUUAUAAUCACUUUAAUUAGCAAAUAAUGAUUGAAAUCAACUUAAAAACAAGUUUAGAGAUGAGGAUUACCUUCAAUUGAACUCAAAUCAUUGAUUUGGAAAUUUGGAUCAAAAUGCUUGAAGAAAUUCGGAUGACUUUUUGCCCAACUAUGAAAAUUAUUUUGAGAUAUUUUAGAGAGAACUUUAGGAGAGAAAUGGUUUUGAUCUAUUCUCCGAUAUUUGGUUUAUGAAAACAAGAAAAAAAAAUAAAUGAAAAAGCUCUCAAUUCGGGUGAAAAAUGAGUGAAAAGUGAGGUAGUUGCAAAGUUUUUAAAACUAAAAACACCCACCUGAUUUUCAAAAUUUGGGGAAUUUGCCAUCAGGCCACUCCCCGUUUUCCUUAUUUUACAAUUUGCUCAUUUCCUUCCAAAAUUCUAAAAAUAUGGUUUAUUUUCUAUAAAAACUCUGACACAUUUCCCUUGUUUGUCAAAUUAGUCCUAUUUAAUUAAUAUUUUAAACCACCCAAUUAAACCCUCAUUUUAAAUUAUUUUUAAAUUCCAAUUUAACCCAAAAUAUUUAUUUUUACCCAAAAAUUAUUUAAAACCAUAAAAUUAAUUUUUCUAAAAAAAUUUUUAUUUUUCAAAACAUUGUUUACCGAUUUUUAGAUUAAAUUAAGCUAACUAAUUAAGAAUAUAAAUUUCUAAUUAAUUCGAUUAAUUCCUAAUUUUCACUCGGAAGCCGGUAAACUUACCCAAAACUACUAGAUCUAUUUUUGGGGCCGUACAAGUUACACUUUUCUUUUACAAAACAUUUAUAUAAAAUUUAACCCCUAGUACCUACCACAUGACCGGAAUAAACAAUUAAAAAUCUAUCAAAUAGAAGUUGGAUAAUGUAAGCUUCAAGCUUAUCCGAUCAUCGAGUUCCUCAAAAUGAUAACUACAAGAAAUAGGAAAAAGAAAUAGAGUAAGCUUCAAUUGAGAUUAGUAAGUUCAUAUGAAAAUUUAACUUAACAUACCUUAUCAUUAUAACAAUUUAAGUAUUUGAACUCAAAAACACAAAAUGACAUAUUCUUGGUAUCCCUACUCUUUCAUAUACAACUCCACAAAACAACCAAUAAGUUAGUAUUAAACAUAACAAGAUCAUAACCUUUGAAUACAUAUACAUGUAUAACCAAACUAUUUUACGUCAUACCAUUCAACCUUGCUCGGUGUGUAACAUAUCAAUAGAAUCCACCUACGAGACAUGUUCAUUUUGCAACGUGAUAAUGAAAUUCAUGUUCAAUCCUUCCAACCAUUUCAUGUUUCUUUAUUUAUCAUUUUCACCCAAAGAAAUAUAUUAAUUUAACUUCAGAUAUACAUAAUUACUUAGCUUCCAUGAGCUUUAGAGUUGAUUUAUUUAAACAAGCUUUAUUUGAUGCUGCUCACCCAAGUUGUCGAGUAUAUGUAACACGUGCAAGAUCUCAGUCAUCGAUAAAGUAUAAUGUGAUGCUGCUCACUCAAGCUGUCGAGAAGCUACAACACAUGCUGGAUCUGAUUCAUCACUAAAUAAUAAUCCAAGGUUGCUCACUCAAGUUGUCGAGAAUUCGCAAUUUAUGUUGGAUCUCAACUAUCACAGAUCUUUGUAUAAUAAUUUGAUGUUGCUCACCCAAGCUGUCAAGAAUCCACAAGUUAUGCUGGAUUUCAUCCAUCAAAUAAAUCUCUAAUCACGACUCCCAUUUUUCCUCUUUUGAACCCAAAUGACUUUUUCAUUCGUAUCUAAACCAUUUAUUAAAUUCAUACAGGUUUUUUACCAAUUCCAUAUCAUUUCAAAACCUUUUAUCCAUAUACACAUUUCACAUUUCGAAUGAUAGUUCUCUAUACAUUUUAAACUUGAAAAAUCAUCAUAUACAUGCUAUCCAAUCACAUACCAUUUCCACAUCCAUUCAAUGUUGUAACAGCUCAUUUUCAGCAAAAUCAAAACAGUGAUUUUAGGACCACAAAUUUGAUGAGUAAAUAUUUAUUUUAUUAUUAUUUUAAUUUGUUUUGGAAUACUAAUAAGGUUUUUAAAAAAAUCGUUAAGAAAUUUUAACGUUUGCAUCCUUAAUUAAGUAAAAAGGACUAAAUCGUAAAAGGUGCAAAAGCAAAGUUCUAGUAGUUAAAGGUAUCAAAUGGCUAUGAAGCUUUAAUGUGAAAGGACUUAGAUGGUAAUUAGAUCAUUAAUGAAUUUAGUGGAUGUAUAUGGCUAAGUAUUAAUGAAAUUUUGAUGUUAAAUGAAGGUUAAGUUAGUAAAUUAAUAAAUUAGUUAAAGUUAAAAUAAAAUAAACAAAAGCAUCAUCGUCCUAAGCGUUCAUCCAACAAAAUUUUGAAGGGAGAAAAUCCAUAGCUAAGGUUUCAUGGUUCGGUCACUUUGCUAGCUUGCAUGUAAGUGAAAUUUGUCUUAUUUUUUAAUGAUUUUUAUGUUUUUGAAAUCAUUGUAGCUUAAUCUAGCUAGCCUAGGGACUAAUUUGCAAAAAUAUUAAAGAAUUAGCAUUUUUCCAUGAACAUGUUUGCAUGAUUCUUGAAUUUUAAUGAAAUAUUAUGAGUCUUUGUUAAUAAAUAACCAAGUUUUGUAAAGUGAUUUUUUAUGAAAAUGUCAUUUAGGGAUUUAUUUGUAAAAGUAGUAAACUAUCAUGCUUAAAUUGUGAAAUGAUGUUUUGUAUGAGUUGAUAUGGGUUCAUAAUAAAUUCAGCUAGCAUGAGUUAAGGAUGAAAAUGCUUAUAUUUCAAUUUGUUAGUUUAAAGACUAAAUUGUAAAAAGGUUAAAAUGUUAGGGACAAAAUUGUAAUUAUGUAUAUAUGUGGAUUAUGGAUUGAAUUAAAUGUUUGAGAUUGAUUGAAACAUUUAAUUGAAUAUAAUUAUUUAUUUAGAUCAAGAUAAAUCUUAAUCGAAUUUAAACCAGGAAAAGGUGAAAAUUACGGAUUAGCUCGAUUGUAAUUUUACGCUCUAGUUGUUAAUGUAAGUUCAUAGUAAUUCUAUACAUAAAUGAACUUUUACUUGCAUGUUUACAAUAUAGUUAUGUAAUUAAUUGCUUAUACUUAAUUAUUCUUUGAAUUUCACAUACAUGCCCUUGUUUGUACUUUGAUACCCCUGAAUUGCACAUAUGUGCCCCUGUUUCUACUUUGAUACCACUGAACUGCACAUAUAUGCCCCUGUUUGUACUUUGAUACCCCUGAAUUGAACAUACGUGCCCUUAUUUGUACUUCGGUACCCCUGAAUAGCACCUACUUGCCCCUGUUUACACUCCGGCAACAUUGAAUCGAGUAAAAUAUGAGUUGUAUUCAAUUUUUGUCAAGUUUAGUGAUAAACUAUGCUCUUACUAAGCUUUAAAAGCUUAUUCAUUUUUUUGGUGAAUUAUUUUGUAGAUUGUUUUUGCUUACAUUUGGACGGAUCGAAUCUACGAAUCACACUAUCAUUUGAUGUUGGUAGUUCUUGUAUUCCUUAGGGUCGUGGCUAUAUAGGUUAUUUUGGUACAAUAUGACAAUAUACUAACCAAGUUGAUAGGCAUCUUUUUGCAUAGUUAAAAUGGUAUGAAAUUGCACACUUGUGAAAUGUUUUGGUUUAUGAGUAAAUUAAGUGUUAUGAUAGAAAUGGAUCAAUGUUUAUAUGUUUUAAAUGUUAAUGUUGAAUUUAACUAUAGUGUCUAUGAAGGCACAUUGGUUGGUUGUUUUUAGGUCAUUAAAAUGGUAUGUUAUGUCAUGUUAAGUUGCUUGUGAUCUCAAUUGUGGUAUGCUUCAAGAUGAUAUUAAAUUGGUAGUGUAUGUUUUUAGUGUAGUGAUGCAUAUGUUUAAGUAAGGUUGUUUGUUUCUAAUUGAGGUUCCUUACAUGUCAUAUUGGUUGAAUGAAUAUUGGUCAUUUGAACUAGUCAUUUUAAGCAUGUUUUGGUAUGUUUUUAAUGCCUUGGUCAUAAGGGUAAAUUGCUUAUAGGUACACUUUUGGCUUGGUGAUGGAAAUGGCUUGAUUUUGGCUAAUUUCUUAUCUACACGGCCUAAGACACGAGCGUGUGUCUCAGCCGUGUGUCCCCUGUAGGUUUUAAAGGUUGCAAGUUAGGAAAUUACACGGCCUAGCACAUGGCCUGACACAUGGGUGUGUGGCUUGGCCAUGUGACCCUACUUAGAGAGUUACUCAAGCACAAACAUGGGCUGAGACACGGCCGUGUGUCCCUAUUUCGAUUGUUACACGGCCUACACGGGCGUGUGUCACACGGCCGUGUGACCCCUACAGUUUAAUUUUUUCUAACUUUUUUGUCAAUAUUUCAAAUGUUUCUGAUUUAGUCCCAAUUCAUUUCUAAAGUGUUUCUAAUGUCUCGAGGGCCCAAUUAAGGGAUGAUAUGCACGUAUAUGAAUGGAUUAUGUUAUGUUUUUAUUAAUGCUUGGAAAUGUAUGGUUUUUAUGUUUCAUUUAUACGGUAAUGCUUUGUAACCCUAUUCUGAUGAUGAAUACGGAUUAGGGGUGUUACAUUUAAUGGUAACAGAGCUACGAUUUAAUCGAUUCUAGGAUUAACAUAGCGAAGUAUGUAACACCCCCAUGCCCGAGACCAUCACCGGAGUCGAGCUUGAGGGGUUACCGAACAUAAUUUAUCAAUUUAAGAACUUCAAAUCAUUUGUUUCUACAUUCACAGCUUUCUAGCUACUCGCGUCACAGUUACAAGAAAAAUCAUAACUCGAGUUAUGAAACUCAAAAUCAAGAUCCGUAAAUUUUCCCUAAAUCUAGACUCAUAUAUCUAUUUACUAAUUGUUUUCUAGAAUUUUUGGUUUGGUCCAAUUAGUACAGUUUAUUAGUUAAAUUCUCCCCUAUUUCAGGGUUCGACUACUCUGACAUAUGUGUAUUACGAAUCAGAUAUCUCUCUAUACAGAAAUUAAAUGACUACAAGGUUUGUUUUUAUUAAAACUAGACUCAAUAAGAAAUCUGUAAAUAUAAAUAACAACUUCUAAUUAUUUUUUUAAAAUUUAGUAUGAAUUUUUAAAGUCAGAAAAGGGGAUCCAAAAAUCACUCUGGCCCUGUUUCACAAAAGUUUAAAUAUCUCAUAAAAUAUAACUUAUAUGCCUGUUUUGUUCAAUCCACAUGAAAAUAGACUCAUUAAGCUUAAAUUUCAUAACUUACUCAUUAUUUAGUUCUAUUUAUACUAUUUUUAGUGAUUUUUCAAAUUCAUGUCAUUGCUGCAGCAAUAUUCUGUUUUAAGGCAAGUUUCAUCUUUCCAUGAAUUUUUAUGAACUAGAUAACCUAUUAAACUUCCAUAAUAUCAAACAUGAUCUAAAUUUAACCAUCACCAUGACUUAUCAAUAUCAAACAUUUUCUCAACCAAUCAUGGCUAUAUCAUAAAAUUAUUUACACAAAAUAGGUAUAUUGCUAUACAUGCCAUACUUAAGUUUUACAAGCCAUUUACCCAGAUGAAAGUCCUUUAGAUAGUGUGAUCGAACCUUUGACCCGUCCCGAUUCCCGAGCUGGCUUGUUCAAAACUACAGUAAAUAAAGAGGAGGGAGUAAGCAUAAAUGCUUAGUAAGUUCAUAUGUAAAUAACAAGUAACAUAACAAUACAAAUAUACCAAACAACUUUAGCACGGUAUCACCAAAACAUAUGUCAUAUUUCUAAAUAUCAUUCAUCAUCUUACCACCUUAUCGUUGUUGUAUCUAUUAUCAACCCGAGGAUUAAGAACAUACCUGUCCAAAGUGUCCAUUUCACAACACUUACCAAUACGUCGCUUGCAUCUUAAGUGUUCUUUCAUUUCACUAGAAAUUUCUCCCGUUGAACACAUUGGACUACAACUCGGAUACACGGAUAAUUUGCACAUAAGUGCCUCAUAUGUAAUCAAGAAAUCAUGUAAUCCGCCCCUAAUUGAACUCGGACUCAACUCAACGAGCUUGGGCGUUCGCAUCCAUAAGUGAACUCGGACUCAACUCAACGAGUUCGGAUGCCUAGUUACAUUUCACGAACUCGGACUCAACUCAAUGAGUUCGGAUGCUCAACCAUCCUAGUGACAUGUCACUUGUAUCCUAAUCUAUUCCUAAGGUUCAAACAGGAUUUUCCUCGAACACAUAUCCUUGCCAUCUUCCGUAAAAUACCAAAACCAAUACUCGGUAGUACUUUAUAUUUAACAAUUAAUACACAUAAUUUGCAUUUUAUUCGAAAAUAGCCACAAAGCAUAUAUUUCAUAAUAAAAAUCAGCAUAUCAUAUAAUUAACAUCAAUAACUUAAAAAUAACAAUUAUGCUACAUUAUUUACACAUGAACUUACCUUGGUACCAAAAUAUAAAGAUUUUGCAAUUUAGUCCACAAUCUUUUCUCUUCCUCGAUCACGACUUGAAUCUCGUUUCUCUUGAUCUAUAAUGCCAAAUUAAUCUUAUUUAAUACAUACAUUCAUCAAAACAGCAUUUAAUAUGAACUUUGGAAAAAUUACACUUUUGCCCUUAAACUUUUGCAUAAUUACACUUUUGCCCCUAGGCUCGGGAAUUAAACUUUAUUCCUUAUUCUUAUGUUUUAUAACAUUCUGAUCAUUUUUCCCUUCUAUGGCAACAUCAAAUACUUACUCUAACAUAUACUUGUGACUAUUAGGUAUUUUUGCCGAUUAAGCCCUUUUACUCAUUUUCACUCAAAACCGAGUAUCACAAGUUGCCUAACAUAAUUUAAAACCCCAUAUUCUAUCAUAAAACAUCAAAAUACACAAAUUUCACCUAUGGGUAUUUUUCCAAAUAUAAACCCUAGGUUGAAUUAUUGCUAACAUAAGCUUAAUCGAGCUAUCGGGAUUCCAAAAACGUAAAGAACAUUAAAAACGGGGCUUGGAAUCACUUACUAUAGAGCUUGGAAGCUUGAAACAAACCCUAACUAUGGAGAACCCUUGAAAUUUCGGCCUAAUGAAGAAGAUGGACAAAAUUUGGCUUUUAAUUUUGUUUUUAAUUCAUUUUAAUAACUAAAUGACCAAAAUGCCCUUACUAGUAAACUUUCCAAAAAUUCCAUCCAUGUCCAAUUUUUGUCCAUAGACUUAGAAAUUGGUAAAAUUCUAUUUAAGACCUCCUAAUUAAUAUUUCAAUGCAAUUUCAUACUAAAAACUUCUAGAAUGCAAAUUUUGCAACUUAUUCGAUUUAGUCCCUACUUUCAAUUUAAGCAUUUUAGGCAUAGAAUUUCAUCACGAAAUUUUCACACAAUCAUGCAAUCAUAUCAUAUUCAUCAAAAUAAUUAUAAAAUAAUUAUUUCUAUCUCGAAUUUGUGAUCACGAAACCACUAUUCCGAUUAAGCCCUAACUCAGGAUAUUACAACUCUCCCCCUCUUUUAAGGAUUUUCGUCCUCGAAAAUCUUACCGGUAAAUAGGUGUGGGUAUUGGUUUUUCAUAGUUUCUUCAGGUUCCCAUGUAGUCUCUUCUACCCCAUUCUUUUGCUUUCUUAGUUGUUUGACUUCUCGAGCUAAAAUCUUAAUCGAUUCUUCUUCAUAAGUCAUAUCCGAUCGUAGUUCAACUUCUGUCGGUGAAAUUAUAUGUGAAGGAUCCGAACGAUACCGGCGUAACAUAGAUACGUGAAACACAUCAUGAAUCUUCUCUAAUUCGGGUGGUAACGCUAGCCGAUAUGCUACCGGUCCAACUUUUUCAAUUAUUUCAUACGGUCUAAUAAAACGCGGACUUAACUUGCCCUUUCGUCCAAAUCUAAGGACUUUCUUCCAUGGAGACACUUUCAAAAAUACCUUAUCACCAACUUGAAACUCCAUUUCUUUUCGUUUCAAAUCUACAUAAGAUUUCUAUCUAUCUGAAGUAGCUUUCAAACAAUCUCGAAUCACUUUCACCUUUUCUUCGGUUUCUUUUAUUAAAUCAACUCCAUAAAUCUGAUUUUCCUUGAGUUCAGUCCAAUACAAUGGUGUCCGACAUUUAUGACCAUAUAAUGCUUCAUAAGGUGCCAUCUUCAAACUCGUCUGAUAACUAUUAUUAUAAGCAAAUUCUACCAAUGGUAAGUACCUUUCCCAACUAUCUUGAAAUUCCAAUACGCAACAUCUGAGCAUGUCUUCAAGAAUCAGAAUUACUCUCUCUGAUUGUCCAUCAGUUUGUGGAUGAAAGGCAGUGCUGAAAUUUAACUUUGUACCUAAUGCCUCUUGCAACUUUUGCCAAAACCGUGAGGUAAACCUCGGAUCUCUAUCCGAAAUGAUUGACAAAGGUAUCCCAUGAAGUCUAACAAUCUCUCGGAUAUACAAUUCAGCCAACUUAUUAAGAGAAUAAUCUGUACGUACCGGAAUAAAAUGAGUCGAUUUAGUCAGUCUGUCAACUAUUACCCAGAUGGCAUUUUUCUUCCUUGGAGUUAACGGCAACCCUGAUAUAAAAUCCAUAGUAAUCCUAUCCCAUUUCCAUUCAGGAACCAUAAUAGGCUGAAGUAAUCGCGAAGGUACUUGGUGUUCAGCUUUCACUUGUUGACAAACUAAGCACUUUGAUACAAACUCGGAAAUAUCUCUUUUCAUUCCACUCCACCAGUACAUUUUCUUUAAGUCAUUAUACAUCUUCGUACUGCCCGGAUGAACCGCCAAACAACUAUUAUGUGCUUCAUGCAAAAUCUUUUGAAUCAACUCAUCAUUUUUCGGUACACAAAUCCGAUUUUUAAACAUCAAACAACCAUCAGAACUGAUUCUAAAAUCUGAUCCCGUAUCAGCUUCACACUGUUUUCUUUUGGCUAGCAAAUCUUGAUCAUUUUUUUGAGCUUCAGAAAUCUCUUGUAAAAACAUCGGUCUUGCUCUUAACUCUGCUAGAAUCGAACCGUCAUCUGAAAUUUUCAACUAAGCGUUCAUAACUCUCAAAGCAAACAACAACUUUCUGCUUAAAGCAUCGGCAACCACAUUCGCUUUUCCCGGAUGAUAAUCAAUAACAAGCUCGUAAUCUUUCAAUAACUCUAACCAUCUUUGCUGUCUCAAAUUCAAGCCUUUUUGUGACAUCAAGUAUUUAAGACUUUUGUGAUCGGUAUAUACUCGGCACUUUUCACCAUACAAAUAAUGUCGCCAAAUCUUCAAAGCAAACACCACUGCAGCCAAUUCCAAAUCGUAAGUAGGAUAAUUCCUCUCAUGAGGUUUUAACUGCCUCGAAGCAUAUGCCACCACUUUUCCUUCUUGCAUGAGUACACACCCCAAACCAUUUAGAGAAGCAUCACUAUACACCACAAAUUCUUUACCUGAUUUGGGUUGUAUCAACACUGGUGCUUCAGUUAAUAACUUUUUCAAUUCUUUGAAACUCUGUUGGCAUUCUUCCGUCCAUUCAAAUUUAACAUCCUUUCGGAGUAGUCUAGUCAUAGGAGCAGCAAUUAUAGAAAAUUCAUUUACAAACCGCCGAUAAUACCCAGCUAGCCCCAAGAAACUCCUAACUUCAGUUACAUUUUUCGGUGGUUUCCAAUCAACAAUGGCUGAAAUUUUACUAGGAUCAACCCGUAUACCAUCACCUGAAACAAUAUGACCCAAAAAUCAAACUUCCUGGAGCCAAAAUUCACUUUUACUAAACUUAGCAUACAGUUGCUUAUCUCUCAAAGUUUGCAAAACUAUCCUCAAAUGCUCAGCAUGCUCUGUCUCAUCUUUUGAAUAAAUUAAAAUAUCAUCUAUAAACACCACAACAAAUCUGUCCGGGUAUGGCCGAAAUAUGCGAUUCAUUAAGUCCAUAAACAUAGCAGGAGCAUUUGUCAACCCGAAUGGCAUAACUAAAAAUUCAUAAUGACCGUACCUUGUUCUAAAAGUUGUUUUAGGCACAUCUGACUCUUUAACUCGCAGUUGAUAAUACCCAGAUCUCAAGUCAAUCUUUGAAAACCAUGUCGCUCCUUUUAGCUGAUCAAACAAAUCAUCAAUUCUCGACAAUGGAUACUUGUUUUUGAUUGUCACCUUGUUUAACUGUCGAUAAUCAACACAUAAUUUCAUAGAACCAUCCUUCUUUUUCACAAAUAACAGGAGAGCGCCCCAAGGUGAAAAACUUGGUCUCACAAAGCCUUUAUCAGUCAACUCUUGCAACUGCGACUUUAAUUCUUUCAACUCUGUUGGUGCCAUUCUAUAUGGAGCAAUCGAGAUUGGAGUUGUUCCCGGUAUCAAAUUUAUACCAAAUUCUACUUCCCUGACUGGAGGCAAACCUGACAAUUCUUCUAGAAAUACAUCCGCAAAUUCACACACAACCGGCAUUGAUUCAACUUUCUUUUCAACUUCUUUUGUAUUAAUUACAUACGCCAAAUAAGCUUCAUAACCCUUUCUCAAAUAUCUCUGAUCCGACAUCAAAGAAAUCAUACUAAAUAUUACCUCUGAUUUGUCUGGUUCAACCCGCAAGAUUUCACCACUUUCACAUUUUAAUUCUAUAACCUUUUCUUUGCAAUUUACUAUAGCAUCAUGCAAUGUCAACCAAUCCAUACCCAAAAUAACAUCAAAUUCAUCAAACGGAAACAACAUCAAGUCGGCCGGAAAGUAAUGACCCCGAAUCAUUAAAGGGCAUUUCUUGCAUACUUUAUCAACUAUCAUGCAUUUGCCUAACGGGUUCGACACUCUAAUCAUAAAUUCUGUGUUCUCAACAGGUAUAUUCAUACUAGACACCAGUUUCAUGCAUACAUAUGAAUGAGUAGAACCGGGAUCAAUCAAAGCAAUAACAAUAGUAUCAUAAAGAGAAAAUGUACCGGUAAUCACAUCGGGUGAGGAAGCAUCUUCACGCGCUUUAAUAGCAUAAGUUCUAGCCGGAGCUCUUCCUUCAGAUCUAACUGCUGCAUCUCUGGCUACAUUCUUACUGCUUGUUUCACUUCCAGCUUUUCUCGGAUGCCUUCCCCUCAUGUCUACACCACUAACUUUUACAUUCUGAAAAUUUUCUUUCUCAGCUCUCUCUGGGCAGUCUCUAAUAAAAUGAUCCGGAGAACCACAUCGAAAACAUUCAUUUGCUCUGCACGGACCAAAAUGAUUUCUACCACACCGCUGGCACUCAAGUUUAAAAAAUCUUGUAUUUCCCACACUAGCCGCAGAAGUAGUCUGAGAUUUAGGACCCACAUUUCGCUUCUUAAAAUUUCCAUAUGAUUGCCCAGCUGAAACUUGGGAACGAGGAUUCAUAUUUCUUGACUUUCCGGUUUACUGUGAGGGUGCAUUACUCAUUGGUCUUUUCUUCCAAUUUCGUGUUUUAGAUUCUACCUUUUUCUUUUCCUUCAGUAGUUCUUCAGCCUUGCAAGCUCGAUCGACAAGUACCACCAUUUCUUUUAGUUCAAGGAUCCUAACAAAUACCUUAAUGUCUUCGUUAAGUCCAUCUUCAAAUCGUCGGCACACCUUGGCUUCUGUAGGAACAUAUUCCCUGGCAUACUUACUCAAUCGAACAAACUCUCUUUCAUAAUCUGAGACUGUCAUAUUACCUUGCUUCAGCUCAAGAAACUCUUUACAUUUCUGAUCAAUAAAUUUUUCACUAAUAUAUUUCUUUCGAAACUCUUCUUGAAAGAAUUCCCAGGUUACCCUCUCUUUCGGCACCACCGAAAUCAAAGUCUUCCACCAAUUAUAGGCUGAAUCUCUCAACAAAGAUGUAUUACAUUUCAAACAUUCUUCAGGUGUACAAGAUAAUUCAUCAAAUACCCGGAUAGAAUUUUCAAGCCAGAACUCUGCUUUCUCUGCAUCAUCAUCAAUAUUUGCUCUAAAUUCUUCAGCCCCUUGUUUACGAAUUCUAUCAACGGGGGUUCUGUGAAAUUUUAUCAUAUCCACUCCUUGAGGCAUUGGAGGCAUAGGUUGAGGAAUUGGGGGAGAUGGGGGAGGUCGUACAUUUGGGUUCGUACGAACGAACUCAGUGUACCAUGCACUCAUCAUUUGGAGAAAGGCUUCCCGAUCCCUUUCUCCUCCUCCCUGCCAACAGUAGGGGGUUGGUUUUCAGUCGGCGCUGCCCCUUCAGCCAGAGCUGGCGCAUUACUCUCUACUUCAUCUGCCACAGCAGGAUCGGGAUCCAUUUACUAUAUAAAAAUCAUUUAAAAAGGUCAGAAGUCGUCACACUAUCACAAUUCAUACAUAUGGCAUGUAUAGCAAAAUCCGUACAUACAACAAGUAGUCCAAGAACCGACUAAACCUGCUCUGAUACCACCAAAUGUAACGCCCCCACGCCCGAGACCAUCACUGGAGUCAAGCUUGAGGGGUUACCGAACAUAAUUUAUCAAUUUAAGAACUUCAAAUCAUUUGUUUCUACAUUCACAACUUUCUAGCUACUCGCGUCACAAUUACAAGAAAAAUCAUAACCCGAGUUAUGAAACUCAAAAUCAAGAUCCGUAAAUUUUCCCUAAAUCUAGACUCAUAUAUCUAUUUACUAAUUUUUUUCUAGAAUUUUUGGUUUGGUCCAAUUAGUACAGUUUAUUAGUUAAAAUCUCCCCUAUUUUAGGGUUCGACUGCUCUGACAUAUGUGUAUUACAAAUCAGAUAUCUCUCUAUACAGAAAUUCAAUGACUACAAGGUUUGUUUUUAUUAAAACUAGACUCAAUAAGAAAUCUGUAAAUAUAAAUAACAACUUCUAAUUAUUUUUUUAAAAUUUAUUAUGAAUUUUUAACGUCAGAAAAGGGGAUCCAGAAAUCACUCUGGCCCUGUUUCACAAAAGUUUAAAUAUCUCAUAAAAUAUAACUUAUAUGCCUGUUUUGUUCAAUCCACUUGAAAAUAGACUCAUUGAGCUUAAAUUUCAUAACUUACUCAUUAUUUAGUUCCAUUUAUACUAUUUUUAGUGAUUUUUCAAAUUCAUGUCAUUGCUGCAACAAUAUUCUGUUUUAAAGCAAGUUUCAUCUUUCCAUGAAUUUUUAUGAACUAGAUAACCUAUUAAACUUCCAUAAUAUCAAACAUGAUCUAAAUUUAACCAUCACCAUGACUUAUCAAUAUCAAACAUUUUCUCAACCAAUCAUGGCUAUAUCAUAAAAUUAUUUACACAAAAUAGGUAUAUUGCUAUACAUGCCAUACUUAAGUUUUACAAGCCAUUUACCCAGAUGAAAGUCCUUUAGAUAGUGUGAUCGAACCUUCGACCCGUCCCGAUUCCCGAGCUGGCUUGUUCAAAACUACAGUAAAUAAAGAGGAGGGAGUAAGCAUAAAUGCUUAGUAAGUUCAUAUGUAAAUAACAAGUAACAUAACAAUACAAAUAUACCAAACAACUUUAGCACGGUAUCACCGAAACAUAUGUCAUAUUUCUAAACAUCAUUCAUCAUCUUACCACCUUAUCGUUGUUGUAUCUAUUAUCAACCCGAGGGUUAAGAACAUACCUGUCCAAAGUGUCCAUUUCACAACACUUACCAAUACGUCGCUUGCAUCUUAAGUGUUCUUUCAUUUCACUAGAAAUUUCACUCGUUGAACACAUCGGAAUACAACUCGGAUACACGGAUAAUUUGCACAUAAGUGCCUCAUAUGUAAUCAAGAAAUCAUGUAACCCGCCCCUAAUUGAACUCGGACUCAACUCAACGAGCUCAGGCGUUCGCAUCCAUAAGUGAACUCGGACUCAACUCAACGAGUUCGGAUGCCUAGUUACAUUUCACGAACUCGGACUCAACUCAACGAGUUCAGAUGCUCAACCAUCCUAGUGACAUGUCACUUGUAUCCUAAUCUAUUCCUAAGGUUCAAACGGGAUUUUCCUCGAACACAUAUCCUUGCCAUCUUCCGUAAAAUACCAAAACCAAUACUCGGUAGUACUUUAUAUUUAACAAUUAAUACACAUAAUUUGCAUUUUAUUCGAAAAUAGCCACAAAGCAUAUAUUUCAUAAUAAAAAUCAGCAUAUCAUAUAAUUAACAUCAAUAACUUAAAAAUAACAAUUAUGCUACAUUAUUUACACAUGAACUUACCUUGGUACCAAAAUAUAAAGAUUUUGCAAUUUAGUCCACAAUCUUUUCUCUUCCUCGAUCACGACUUGAAUCUCGUUUCUCUUGAUCUAUAAUGCCAAAUUAAUCUUAUUUAAUACAUACAUUCAUCAAAACAGCAUUUAAUACGAACUUUGGAAAAAUUACACUUUUGCCCUUAAACUUUUGCAUAAUUACACUUUUGCCCCUAGGCUCGAGAAUUAAACUUUAUUCCUUAUUCUUAUGUUUUAUAACAUGCUGAUCAUUUUUCCCUUCUAUGGCAACAUCAAAUUCUUACUCUAACAUAUACUUGUGACUAUUAGGUAUUUUUGCCGAUUAAGCCCUUUUACUCGUUUUCACUCAAAACCGAGUAUCACAAGUUGCCUAACAUAAUUUAAAACCCCAUAUUCUAUCAUAAAACAUCAAAAUACACAAAUUUCACCUAUGGGUAAUUUUCCAAAUAUAAACCCUAGGUUGAAUUAUUGUUAACAUAAGCUUAAUCGAGCUAUCGGGAUUCCAAAAACGUAAAGAACAUUAAAAACGGGGCUUGGAAUCACUUACUAUAGAGCUUGGAAGCUUGAAACAAACCCUAACUAUGGAUAACCCUUGAAAUUUCGGCCUAAUGAAGAAGAUGGACAAAAUUUGGCUUUUAAUUUUGUUUUUAAUUCAUUUUAAUAACUAAAUGACCAAAAUGCCCUUACUAGUAAACUUUUCAAAAAUUCCAUCCAUGUCCAAUUUUUGUCCAUAGACUUAGAAAUUGGUCAAAUUCUAUUUAAGACCUCCUAAUUAAUAUUUCAAUGCAAUUUCAUACUAAAAACUUCUAGAAUGCAAAUUUUGCAACUUAUUCGAUUUAGUCCCUACUUUCAAUUUAAGCACUUUAGGCAUAGAAUUUCAUCACGAAAUUUUCACACAAUCAUGCAAUCAUAUCAUAUUCAUCAAAAUAAUUAUAAAAUAAUUAUUUCUAUCUCGAAUUUGUGAUCACGAAACCACUAUUCCGAUUAAGCCCUAAUUCAGGAUAUUACAAAGUAAGACUUAGAAUAUACAUCCCACAUAUACCUUGUGAUAGUGUGAUGCUUUUGAUUCGUUCUAACAUUUUGUUUCUUAUAGAUUCAAGAUGUCAGCUGAAUCAAAUCGAGCUAUAGUUAAUGAAAUUGAAAGUAAUGUUCAAGCUUUGAAUCCUGAGGCAAGCAAUAGUGCGUCUAUUCCCCAAUCUGUGGGUGAUGAGAUGAAAAAUGUAUUUCUUGGAAUGAUGAACCAAUGGUUCAACAAAUUUAAACAAGCAUAUCUUGCAACUCUACCACCUCUACCCUAUGUUGUGUCUUCUUCGACACCCUUGAAUACUCUAAACCUUGUACCUGUAAUGGUUACCCGGGUAUCUGUAAAAAAAAUUGGAAAUGUGGAAUAGAAGAGCUCGGAUGUGCGGUAGAUGAUGAUCCUUCAAAAGCUGAGUAUUGGUUAUUGAACACAAAGAGAGUUUUUACGAAGUUAUUGUGCACCCCUAAAGAUUGCUUCAGGAGUGUAGUGUCCUUACUAAAAGAUGAGGCGUAUCUAUGGUGGGAUACUUUAUGCUCGAUAGUAUCGAAUGAUCGGGUUAAUUAGACUUCUUUCAGCAUGAAUUCGAGAAAAAAGUAUGUUAAUCGAUUGUUCAUUGAUCGAAAAAAGAAAGUUUCUCGAGUUAAAACAAGAAAAUCAAACUGUAGCUAAGUAUGAAUGUGAGUUUGUGCAGUUAAGUAAGUAUGCUCAUAACAUUGUAUCAAAUGAGGAGGGAAUUUGUAUCAAAUUUGAAGAUGGUUUGAAUGAUGAGAUCCAUAUGCUUGUAACAGCAUUAAAGUUACCAGAAUUUGUAGAACUUUCAGAGCAGGCUCAGAAGGUUGAAGAGAUUUGUAAAAGCAAAUGACAUUCAAAUUUGAGAUUUCGAGAUUAUAACAAGAGAAGGUCAUUUAAGCCUGCUUAAACACCUUUGUAGGCAUAUUGUAUUGCAUUCAAAACACCAUUGGGGAUGUCACCUUUUAAGCUGGUUUGUGGGAAGCUUUGUCAUCUACCCGUUGAGCUGGAACAUAAAACAUUUUGGGCUAUUAAAAAGUUGAACAUAGAUUGGAUCACUAGUCGACAGAAAUGAUUAUUAGAGCUAAAUGAAAUGGAUAAAUUCUAAGCUCAGGCAUACGAGAAUGCUCAACUGUGUGAAGAAAAGACCAAGCAUUGGCAUGACAAAAGGAUUAUGCCACGACAAUUUGAACCCAGACAACAAGUGUUGUUAUUCAACUCUAUGCUCAAAUUGUUUCAGGGAAAAUUAAAAUCUCGUUGGUUAGGACCUUUUGAAGUAGCCCACGUAUAUCCUUGUGGAGCUGUGGAUGUUAAAGAUGUUUAGAUUGGGCUCACAUUUAACAUCAAUGGGCAACGCUUAAAGCAUUACUGGGGUGUUCUUGUGACUCGAGAUAAAUAGUCCAUUGAUCUCCGAGAUGUUUAACUUCAGCGUCUCGAUGAUUUUAUUUUUGUUUUUAGUUUUGUCUAUUUUUAGUUUCUCUUAGCUAUUUCAUUUACUUCGUUUAAUAAAUUUUAUUUUGUAUUGCAAAUAUUUGCAUGGUAAUAAGGGUUCGGGCCCUACAUUGCUCUUUGGCCCAUCGGCAGUUAUUUCCUAAAUAUUUGGCCUUCCAAAUAUUUUUUUUAUUUUUUUCCUUUUCCCUUCAAUUUCAAUCACACCACAAUCAAGCCAUCAUUAUUGCCCAUCCACUCGCCCAUUUCACCCCAUUAUUUUACUACUGUGUUAUUUUUCUUUUACCCUAAUCGUUUCAUCUUCUUUUACAGUUAACCUAAGUUUUCUUUUUCUCCAAAUUUACUUAUAUUUCUUUUACUCUUGCAAGUUUUCACCUUUUUCGUUUACCAUUUACUCUACCUUCUCCUAAUGGCCAGAUGUUUUACUCUGUAACCAUCUGCUCUGCCACCACACACAUUUUCAACCAAGAAGUGGAAGAUCAGUACACGCAUAAUAUCUCGAAGUUUCCUUUCUGCUUGGAAAAAAGCUUUCUUUUUCAAGAUAAGACCUUUCUGGAUCUAUUUCUUUUGUGGUACAACAACAUGGAUGGAAGAUUUUCUGUUUGCAUCUAAAUGAUGUUUUGACAAAGGUGGUUCAUGAGUUUUAUACUCAUCUUACUUCUCCCAACAAUGUUUUUAUUCAUAUGUGAAGAGCAUCAAUGUUAUUUGAUGAAUAUUCCAUUCAUGUUCAGUACGGCUUAUCUAAUGUUCAAGAUGAACAAACUCAGUUUGCUGCUACAAUCACUACGGAUGGUCUGAAUAAGUUCUUCAAGACUUGUGUGUAACAGGUUGUAACACCCCAAACUCGGCCCAGACGUUAUGACCGGAUCCGACAUGCCACAUCGAAGCGUUCAAAAUAUUUUCUAUUGUUGAUCCAGAAAAAACUUACUUAGUGUUUUAAAAGAUAAUUUCAUUAUAGGUUAAAGUGAAUGGAAGCUGUGCACCAGGUAGGAAACCGGAAAAGAGGUGGUGAGUCCAUCGGACUGCUUAAGUACCAAGCUCCCUUCGGAUCCAAUCCUAGACAUGCAUACCGCCAUUGCCACACCUUAAUGUCAUGGAUAUUUCUAGGAAACUGAUUUGAUUAAGUCAUUUUUAGGAAAAGUGAUUAAUUUUGGAAAAUACUUUCAUUGCGGAAGCUUUGUUUGUUGUCGUGUUAUUUUGAAAUCAAUUGUUGUUUUGAAAACGCGCCCUAAAGCUAUCCAAUUUCAACAGUUAAAAUAAGUAAUACCUAUCUUAGUAAUACAUAUUAAAACCAUCAAAAAUAAUUAAGCGGCCUUAUUACAUUUAAAAACCCAAAACUUCAAACGUAAAUAAAAGGAUGUCCAAUUCACCAGAAGAAAAUCAAACUUUCAGAACGGGUGGCCACUCCGAAUUCCCUCACAACUCCAAGCCCACUAUGGUUGGGGAUUUCCUGCGUGGAUGAAAAUAAAAGGGGUGAGAUUGGGGAAACUCAGUGUGUAAGGAAAACCCAUUCAAAGCCCAAGUCAGCUCAAGCCUAUUGGGCCUAAGCCUAUUCAGGUAACAGUGGUACUGGACCAGAGCCCUUUUCAGAUUACAAUAAACUGGGCCUUAGCCCCUUAAUCAGAUAACAGUAUGGCCCAUAGGCCCAUUUCAAAAUACAUGAAACAUCAAUAACAUAUGCAAGCCCAUUUGGGGAGACUACUCAACCCACCAACCACUACACUCCACCCGUACCAGCCCUACACUCCAUGUGGGGAAUAGCUCAACCCACCCAGCCCAACACUCCACAGUUGCAGCCUUGCUGCUUAGUUAACAGUAAAUUGAGGCAAAGCCUCCAGUACGUGGACAAGCCACUUUCAGUACUUCCUCCGUCAAUAUCUCAAUCCCAUGCAUCAGAUAAUAACAACAUGGCAUGCAGUAAAUAACAACAGUCAAACAUGCAUUUAGGUCAAUUUAACCAUAGGGGUAUUUCGGUAAUUUAUCUACUAGGGGUAAAACUGUAAAUUUUCCACUUUUAAAGGUAUUUCAGUAAUUUAUCUAUUUUAGGGUUUUUCAUGCAUAUUCCUACCUUUCACUUACUAACAGAAUUACGUACCGAGGGUUCUUACUGAAUUGGGCCCGUUGGCCCAUCAUUCCAAUUUUGGCCCAUUAAGCCCAAAAAUAUCGAGGGCACAGAAAUCAUGCACUUUGCAGUCCAAAUUUUACAGCUUACCAAAAACAUUAAUUGAUUUACCUCACGAGCAUUCGCACACUCACAAAUCUACAAAAUACUGAUUUUUGGCAUUUCGGCUUUUCGACUUUUGCCGAUCCAGACUAAGAAAGAGGGUGUUAGUUACACACCUGUUUGCGACGAUAUGCUGACGAGAUCCACACACGAACCGCCUACAAUUGGAUUACUAACAUGUUAAUCUAACUAUUCAAAUACAAACUACGUAUUAACCCCUUACAAUAUUCGGCCAACCACACCUACAGAUCAUAGUAAGCUUAUAAGAAAACAAUAAGCAACUCAUUAAUAAAUUUUUGUCAAUGUUUACCACAUAAUCAUAAUUUCACUGCAAGCUGUCUUCCUGAACAACAGUCACUAAAUCAUUUAUAACUGGAGCUACGAAACUCCAAAUCAAGUUCUGUUAAUUUUACCUGAAAAUAGACUCAUAUAUCUUCUAUCCAUAAAAUUUUCAGAAUUUUUUGUUUAGCCCAUCAAUACCAGAUUUUUCUCAAAGUUUCCCAUGUUUCACUGUUUGACUAAUCUGACCACUCUUCAUUACGAAUCAAAUUUCUCAUUGUAUAGAAUUCAAAAUAUGUUCUAGUUUAUUCCAUUUGAAAAUAGACUCAUUAAGAUUUAAUUACAUAAUUUAUGCAGCUUCUAACUCAUCUCCCACAAUUUAUGGUGAUUUUCCAAAGUCACAUUACUGCUGCUGUCCCAAGCAGAUUUAUUACCAAAUCACUCUUUCACACCUAACUUGCAUGCUUGUUAUUUAAACAUGUAUAUCACCAAUCAAUCAUCACAUAUCUAUGAUUUUACUUAAGUAUAAUCUCCAUUUCAUCAUUUUAAAGAACAACAUGUUAGCUGAUUUUUCCCUUUAACAUCUAAGGCACAUGCAUGCUCAUUUGUUUGGCUCAACUUCACCUAUCUUCCAUUUUCCAUCAAAAGAACAUGAAACAACAACCAUUUCCUUCAUUUUAAUUCAUGACUAAAUGCUCACAACGCAACUAAAAACCAAAAUAUGCUUCAAGAGUUAAGGCGGAAUCAAGAUGAACUCAUGAACCUCAAAAUAAGAAGCAAGGUACCAAGAACUUACCUUCAAUUUUCCUCCUCCUAAUGACCGAAUACUCAAGAGCUUUCUCCUCUCCUUUCUCUUCUCUAACUUUC